rnacentral:rRNA from 1 species
AUCCUGGCUCAGAUUGAACGCUGGCGGCAUGCCUUACACAUGCAAGUCGAACGGCAGCACGGGUGCUUGCACCUGGUGGCGAGUGGCGAACGGGUGAGUAAUACAUCGGAACAUGUCCUGUAGUGGGGGAUAGCCCGGCGAAAGCCGGAUUAAUACCGCAUACGAUCUACGGAUGAAAGCGGGGGACCUUCGGGCCUCGCGCUAUAGGGUUGGCCGAUGGCUGAUUAGCUAGUUGGUGGGGUAAAGGCCUACCAAGGCGACGAUCAGUAGCUGGUCUGAGAGGACGACCAGCCACACUGGGACUGAGACACGGCCCAGACUCCUACGGGAGGCAGCAGUGGGGAAUUUUGGACAAUGGGCGAAAGCCUGAUCCAGCAAUGCCGCGUGUGUGAAGAAGGCCUUCGGGUUGUAAAGCACUUUUGUCCGGAAAGAAAUCCUUGAUUCUAAUACAGUCGGGGGAUGACGGUACCGGAAGAAUAAGCACCGGCUAACUACGUGCCAGCAGCCGCGGUAAUACGUAGGGUGCAAGCGUUAAUCGGAAUUACUGGGCGUAAAGCGUGCGCAGGCGGUUUGCUAAGACCGAUGUGAAAUCCCCGGGCUCAACCUGGGAACUGCAUUGGUGACUGGCA